rnacentral:rRNA from 1 species
AACGAACGCUGGCGGCAGGCCUAACACAUGCAAGUCGAACGCUCCGCAAGGGGAGUGGCGCACGGGUGAGUAACACGUGGGAACCUACCUUCUGGUACGGAACAACCAGGGGAAACUUUGGCUAAGACCGUAUACGACCUCCGGGUGAAAGAUUGAUCGCCGGAAGAGGGGCCCGCGUCCGAUUAGGUAGUUGGUGAGGUAACGGCUCACCAAGCCUUCGAUCGGUAGCUGGUCUGAGAGGAUGACCAGCCACACUGGGACUGAGACACGGCCCAGACUCCUACGGGAGGCAGCAGUGGGGAAUAUUGGACAAUGGGCGCAAGCCUGAUCCAGCCAUGCCGCGUGAGUGAUGAAGGCC